UGAUUUUUUGUGCCUGGUGCCCAAGUCGCCCU
rnacentral:piRNA from 1 species